ensembl:rRNA 5S_rRNA 5S ribosomal RNA
GUCUACAGCCAUACCACCCUGAACGCACCCGAUCUUGUCUGAUCUUGGAAGCUAAGCAGGGUCAGGCUUAGUUAGUACUUGGAUGGGAGAUAAAAUGAAUAGUAGAAGGAA